CAGAAACGGCUCCUUCUUCUCCUCCUCCCCUGUUCAUACUCUUGUGAUUUUAUACUUUCUUUAUCAUCAUCGCUGGUCAGUCGAUCGACUUGAAUUCCUCCUUUCUCUAGUUCUACAUCUUCCAACAAAGAGAAACUGUGACAAGAUCUAUGAUACAACGAAGUUUGAUGGAUGCAUUCACAUACUCGUUAUUUUUGCAUUACCCUAUACAUCGAUGGGGGUUGAAUGAAAAUGAGUUUCUAUCAAAGAAGAGAAAGUUGAUCUGUCGUCUCUACCAGGUUUUGUCUUACUUAUAUAUGUCACUCUAAAGAAGAUGGAUAAAGGUGAAGUUUUGAUGGUAAUAUGGUCUCUGCGGGUGCAAAUGAGUGUCUGAGGCUUAAGAGAUCUCUUAGGUACAUACCAUGGGUACACUACAGUAAAUUAGGUGAUAGCUCGGAUGAGGAAUCUACAGAUCGACAACCUCAUCAGGUUCAUCCUUGUACUGAAAGUUCGAAAAAUCUAACUGGACUUCACAUUAUGAAAUUCACUAUAAUCACAUAUUUGUGGUCUGAAUAUUUUUGUUAUUUAUUGUCAACAUCUUCCUCCGAGGCCGUGCCUUCCUAGAGGUGUUCUUUGUGGGUGUUUUAAGUGUACUAAUUGCGAAAAGGUCACAUCAAAGUGGCGUCCAGAAGAUGCACAAAGGAGUUUAACGAUACAUUUAAAUAUAUAGACAACAUACGUUCAAAAGCAGAGCCAUAUAGAAUUUGCAGAAUAGUUCCUUCCUCUUCAUGGAGACCUCACUACCCUCUUAAAGAAAACAGUGCAUGAGAGACUCAACUGACUAGGAAGAUACAACUACAUUCGGUUUGCACCCAGAGGUCAUGGAAACGUCCAUAUGGUGUUGGUAUGCUUGUUGCAGGGUUGGAUGAAUCAGGAGCACACCUCUACUACAAUUUCCCAAAUGGGAACUACUUCGAAUACCAGGCCUUUGCUAUUGGGGCUCGUUCACAAUCUGCUAAAACUUGUUUGGAACGCGAAUUUGAGUCCUUCGCCAACUCUACCCGUGAUGAUCUGAUCAAAUAUGCACUCUUUGCAAUCAAGGAAACUUUACAAGGAGAGAAGCUAACAAGCUCAAUCUGCACUGUUGAUGUUGUUAGUCUUGAAGAGGAUUUCCACAUUUUGGAUCAGAAAACUAUGCAAGAGUUUAUCGAGUUGUUAGAGAUAAGGGAAGAGGCGUCCGUACAAGAAGAAGUAGAAGUGCCUCCUCCAGCUCCAAUGGACAUUGGAGAUCUGUAAGAGAAGCGGUUGCAUUGCUUUGAUUAUACAGAAAUGUUUAUAGGUAGAAACUGAACUCAGGAUGACAUUAUUAGUAAUGGAGAACAUCUUUGUUCAAUGCACACUUAAUGUCUCUUUCUUUGUUCAAUGCUUAAUUGAUGUCUCUUUCAGUGAAUUCUUGGCCUGAAUUUUUGGCCUGAAAA